GAUGAACGCUAGCGGCGUGCCUAAUGCAUGCAAGUCGAACGGGAAGGGUGAAUUUCGGUUUACCCUGAGAGUGGCGAACGGGUGCGUAACACGUAGAUGACCUGCCCUGGAGAGGGGGACAACCACGGGAAACUGCGGCUAAUACCCCGGAUGUCUAGAAGACUAGAGGCUUCUAGACUGAAGGCUGACUAUGAAAGUAGUCGUGUGCUCUGGGAGGGGUCUGCGGCCCAUCAGCUAGUUGGUAGGGUAACGGCCUACCAAGGCGAAGACGGGUAGGGGGCGUGAGAGCGCGACCCCCCACACUGGUACCGAAACACGGACCAGAUACCUACGGGUAGCAGCAGCAAGGGAUAUUGCGCAAUGGGCGAAAGCCUGACGCAGCAACGCCGCGUGGAGGACGAAGGCCUUCGGGUUGUAAACUCCUUUUCUGGGAGAAUAGAAAGGAAGGUACCCCAGGAAUAAGAUCCGGCUAACUACGUGCCAGCAGCCGCGGUAAAACG
rnacentral:rRNA from 1 species